GGUAGCUAAAUGCGGAAGAGAUAAGUGCUGAAAGCAUCUAAGCACGAAACUUGCCCCGAGAUGAGUUCUCCCUGAGACUUAGAGUCUCCUGAAGGAACGUUGAAGACGACGACGUUGAUAGGCCGGGUGUGUAAGCGCAGCGAUGCGUUGAGCUAACCGGUACUAAUGAACCGUGAGGCUUAACCUUACAACGCCGAAG
rnacentral:rRNA from 4 species